UACAUUCUUAAAUAAAAAUGCUCCACUGAACAGUUCUUGCAUAGAUAUCUUACAAUACCAAUUUAAAAAAGAAUUAUGAAACAGACCAGUAACAAAAAUAAAUUUCAUCUUCUUCCUUAAUAAAGAACAUUACCAUACUAACAUUAUAUCAUACAAAUAAUAAUAUUUUAAACACUUUGUACAGCAAAAGAACCAAUAAAGAAAAACACACAAGGAAAGAACAGAAUAGAAAAAAACAGAGAGGAAGAGUGUGAAGAUUACAGGAAGUGAGGGGGUGGAGUGUUAGUGAUGUGGCGAGGGAAAGAGAGGACAGUGAAUAUGAGGGUCCCUGCUCUAGUGAGAAACUACAUGCUUCAGCCUACAUAUGGCAAAAUGUCGUCCUACUUCCAUACAGAUAAAUCAAGAUGGCACAUAACUGUUCUAUUUUUGCUUUCUUUCUUUUUUUUCAGAUUUGUACCUGCUCUAUCAACUGGCGGCUGUCUGCGAGAUCAAUGUUUGGAUUAGAGAGAGCACCUGUGAAAGCAUCGAGGUCUGUUGUUGGCCGGUUGCUCCCUGGUUAAUGAUGUCGAGGGACAUUCACAGGUAAGAGAUCGCUGACAGCUGGUAAUGCAUAACUGCAGGAUGAAGCUGAAGUGAUAGCAUUUUCAGGAAGUGACUGUGGUUCUGCAGGUGCAGGGUGGGAAAAAUGGGGGUGGGAGGUGAGGAACGCAGAAAGCCAAAGGGAAAGACCUGGUGAAAACCUUACGUACUGACUGAUCAAGUUUGGACAAACACGCAUACAGACACACUUCAAGAUGCAGUAUAUCUCAAGGCAAAUGAGUCCUUUACAGUUCUCAUCGCCGUUUGCGAGUGACUGGGUACCAUAUGGAUGAGUAUUUGAGUGUAUAUGCAGAAUUGAUGCACUGUUGACCAAAAAAGACAAUUUAUGUUGUGCCAUGAACCUACAAGCCUUAUCUAGUAAGCUGAAAAAUUAAUUGUUCCCAUAUUCUUGUGAUAAGUGCAUCUUGAAAUGCCACUAAAUGUUAUGUAGACAAUCGACAACGGUGUCAUUUAAACAGACUAAGCUAGCAGUAACAAUGAAGAGUGUUAGUUAUGCAGUGAAAUGUUGUUCCAAUACGGACAAUAAAAAAUGAAAAAGUUGUCACCUCUGACCUUUUGUCAUAAAAUCCCCUUGUGAUGUUUCAAGCAUCUUUUUGUAUAAAAUUUAAGCUGCCAAAAGCCUCUUUGAAGCUAAAAAGCAAACAGCUUGGGAAGGGAGUGCCCAGAUCUAGUUCACUUAAAAUUGUUCCCUUAGAAUGUUUUCAAACAUUCUUACUGUCAUGUAAAACGCUCCGCCACAGAAUUAUCUCCGUUUUGAAGUGGUACGGAUAACUCGCGGUACAAAAAGUGGUCUUCUGUACAGCUAAAUCAGAAUUGUGUUAGGAAUUACGUGAACGAUCGCUUUAAAACCGAUCGCCUGGAUGUUGAUUUCUAAAGACAUGCGUGACCUGCACUGACUAUAAGAAGCGCUAGAACCGAUGCGACUAAUUCGCUGUUUGAACUUCACGUUAUACUCAUCCUCAAUUUUACAAAGCUCACAUACUCGAGACCAAGUCAAUGGUCACCUAGACGUUCAAGAACGAAUCAUAGGAAGCUGGUGUAGGGCAGAAGAGAUACUGUGAGAAUAAAAUUAAACAACCAUUUCUUCUUUCUCUCUUUCAACAUCCAGCAGUUUAUUUGCAAAUGUGUAAAUCUUUGGGCAAAGUAUGCAUUUGACGCCUGUGCGAUUGCGUGGACCGCUGCUGUCAUUCUAAGAAUGAGAGAUCGGGGGUUUCAAAUGGCACUUGAUAUGUGAGGGGAUAUGUACGGCAUGUUGUCUGCUAAUGAAUCUGAUCGGCCUAUUCAUAAAUUUCAUUGGUAACGUCUGGAGCAUGUUGGCAAAAGGGAGAUUUGUUUAUUUUGCAUUUAACGUUGCUUUGCACUGUAUUUAAAAAAGACAAUAUUUAUAUGUAUAUUUUCAGAGUUGAUUUGAAGAUUGGCUUCAUUGUUCGUCAGUGUCAAAGAAAAUGAUAUGAAGCAUUUUUUUAGGUUCCUGCAUUCCUGCUGUUAUAUCCCAUAUGGUGACUGAAGGAGUAAGUGGAAUCGUCAUUUUGUCAGGGAGAAAAGCAGGAGAGCAGAACAGUGUGAAACAAAUGUAGCUUUUCAUCACUGCUAUCUAAACUCAUACAUACAGUCGUCACAUACACAGGCCGCUUCUUGCGGAAAAAAAGUGCCACGAACCACAACUGAUUGUACAUUAGUGGAGAUGAACCAAAUCACCUCCUGUUUCUUCAGAAUUUUGGCAUGACUUUGCAUUUCAAUUGAGAAACUGACACGGAAAUAAAAAGACAUCAACUGAAAAUGGCAACUGAAGUCUGACAUGUAGUUGUGGUCAAACAGAGGUGACGGCGUGUGUGAGUGUGUGUAUGUGUGAUAGAAGAGCUGCCUUCAGCAGGCCUCAAACCAAGAGAAAGGCACCAACCCUUCACUCUGCACUGAGAGUUUCGGAAUCGAUCGUUAAGCUCUGGCGGUCCACAGAGGGAUACUCUGGGAUCGUUUAGUAGAGUCUGCGAUGACUCCGAACAUGUUACCGCUGAAUUGUAAUGGCUUUCAAUCUCCCUUCCACCCUUGCAGCCAUUAAAUCAAUGCAGGAGAGGAGGGUCGGCAGGGAAAUGCCCUGAUUGUGAAGCCACGGCAGGCUUCACAUCCUUGGGAACGAUGAUAUAUAUUUCGUCCCCGCGAUUUAGAAGCUGAUUGUUAACACAGCGCUAGACCUAGGCCUGGUUUAGCAUAAUUUACUCGAGUGUAUCAACAAGCUCUCGAUUUAACGUCUUGACGUCUGGAUGGAACACAAUCCUACAAAACAACAAUUGCUAAAACCCUGCUGUGAAGAUUUCGGUGCAAAACAAAUAAUGCUGAGAGGCAAGCUGUGCAUGUGUGUGUGUGAGUGCGUGUAUCUGUCUGAAAGAGGCUGCCAUGCAGUGUUUCGUGUUAAUGCUGUUCAUUAACUUGGUAAUUAUUGUUCUACUUUUUUUCUUCUUUAGUUUUUCUCAGGAAAAAGCCAAGA